UCGUCAGGUAGGAGAAUCCUUACCUGCUUCUCCUUUUGGAGGGCAGAUUAGAACAUGAUGAUUGGAGUUUGUAUGAUUCGUGAUUAAUGUCUCUGAAUAAUCAGGUCUUGCAACACCCUGAUUGCUCCUGAU
rnacentral:snoRNA from 1 species